GGGCAGGCACGUCAAUUAGGGCAGGCACGUCAAUGACGGAGGCGAAACAUACACACACCCCUCCCCCAACCAGCCCCAGCCACCCUCCAUAGCAUCAGGAACAAGAAAGAGGGCAAGGGGGAACGAAUCCACAAAGAAAAACAACCCUGGCACAGCUGUGCCCCACAACUACCUGCCUGCAUCAAACAAAUCUGCCGUACUCCGAUAGCCAUAUCGGAGUACGACAGCAUUUUGAUGCCCCACGUAAAACACAUAAGAGCCCCGACCCUCACCCCCAUCUUACCUCCAUUCCCGGCUGGACGUCGGCCCCAUCGUCCGAGGCCUGCUGCACGUGCAGCACGUGGAUGGGAACAUGAGAAUUAGGGCAGGCACGUCAAUUCGGGCAGGCACGUCAAUUAGGGCAGGCACGUCAAUUCGGGCAGGCACGUCAAUGACGGAGGCGAAACAUACACACACCCCUCCCCCAACCAGCCCCAGCCACCCUCCAUAGCAUCAGGAACAAGAAAUAGGGCAAGGGGUAACGAAUCCACAAAGAAAAACGACCCUGGCACAGCUGUGCCCCACAACUACCUGCCU
rnacentral:lncRNA from 1 species